rnacentral:lncRNA from 1 species
GAUGCAGUCCAGCAAAUUGAUUUCCGGGAGAUUGAGGACGACGUGCGCCGGAUAACAAUGGAAGGGAACUCGGACGCACUUGAGGAAGAAGACGCACCAGAGGAAGACACGCCUGAGGAAGAGGAACCGGACGUGCCAUCUGAGGAAGACCCGAGUCGUCCUGCACCGGACCGCGUCAGUGGCGUACGCGAGCCGUCGAACCGGGAGGGGAAACGACCGACGUGGAUGAAGGAUUACCAGGUCAAUUUCAAGGGUGGCUAAGCCAAUCUGGUCGAACCCAGGAGUUAUGGGGAAUUUUGCAAAAAAACUCUUUUUAUUUUAAGUAUUUACAUUUAAGUCCUGUUACAUUAAAAGACUAUCGUGAAUCUUUGUUCGG